rnacentral:rRNA from 1 species
UGGCGGACGGGUGAGUAACGCGUAAAGAGCUUGCCCUUUAGACUGGGAUAACAGAGGGAAACUUCUGAUAAUACUGGAUAAGUUAGUAUAUCGCAUGAUAUACAAAUGAAAGCUACGGCACUAAAGGAGAGCUUUGCGUCCUAUUAGCUAGUUGGUAAGGUAAGAGCUUACCAAGGCGAUGAUAGGUAGCCGGCCUGAGAGGGUGGACGGCCACGAAGGGGACUGAGAUACGGCCCUUACUCCUACGGGAGGCAGCAGCA